GUCGCCGAAUAAGUGCGGAGAGAACGCAGCAGGGAAGAGGAAUUUCGGAAAAUGGCGAGGGGACACACCGGAGAGUUUUUCAGGAGGAGGGACGAGUGGAGGAAGCAUCCUAUGCUUUCGAAUCAGCUGCGACAUGCCACCCCUGGGCUUGGUAUCGCCCUCGUGGCAUUCGGUGUCUACCUCGUUGGUGAACAAAUCUACAAUAGGAUCAACGCUCCUUCUCACCACUCUCACUCUUCGUCUUCGUCUCAUGCUUCUCACUGAUCAUGGGUCGCAUGUAAUGCUCCACUUGAAAGGUGGACUGUUGGGGAACUAAGAAAUGCAAGUCUCUGGCAUCGAUUUCCUUUGUUUCACUGUCUAAUAAUAAGCUUUCCUUUAAUAUUAAACUUGCAGAUUUCAAUGUAAAAUCUUAUGCUGUAUUUGGUUUGUCACUAGCCAUGGCCACAUCCUUUUCAUGCAUGCAUUUUCGUCUUUAGUUUUUGUUGAUUGGUCUGCUUGCACUGCUGCAAA